AGAUCACCAUGGGCAAAAAACCACACCUCCUCCUCCUCUUCGUCCUCAGCGCCUACCUCAUCGGCAUGGAAGCCGGCGACGGCCGGGGCCGGAGCUCGUGCCACAAAAAGUACCUCAGCCUCAAUCAGUACUGUGAGAGCUGGAGAUCCAAUGUGGAGCUGCACAACAUCCGGGGAUUCACCACCAUCCCCGGCGAGUGCGGCGAGUACAUCGGCAAAUACAUGACGUCGACGCAGUACGACUCCGACGUGCAGCGGGCGGCGGAGGAGGCGUCGAACUUCCUCAUCAGCAAGUACAAGGCCGGAGGGGAUGAGAAGGAUGCUUGGGUGUUUGAUGUCGAUGACACUCUCCUCUCAACGCUGCCUUAUUAUCAGAAGCACCACUUUGGGGCUGUUACAUGGUGCGGAGGAGACAACCCAAGCAGCAUCACUUAUGCAGAAUGGCUCAGACUCGGUGAGGCCCCAGCUAUAGACCACAUCCUCGACCUCUACUUUGAUAUUAAGGGGCGAGGGCUCAAGAUUUUCCUUAUUUCAUCGAGAGGAGAAGACAUGAGAAACAUCACCGUCGACAACCUCAUGAAGGCUGGCUUCUCGGGUUGGACGGAGCUCAUCUUAAAGUGCAACGAGGAGACCAACCAAGGGGCGCAGGAGUAUAAAACCGCUCAGAGGAAGAAGUUGCAGGACAAAGGGUAUCGUAUUUGGGGGAUCGUCGGAGACCAGUGGAGCAGCAUUGCCGGAGAGCCCAGCGGAAAGAGGACUUUCAAGCUACCAAACCCUAUGUAUUAUGAGUACUAAGAAUUUGAGAAUUCCGUUUUGAGUCUGCUAGUUGAUUUGUAAUGUGAGGUAUGUUUCCUUGGUGAGUCGUUCUUUAUGAAUGAAAUAACUCGUCCUUUU
rnacentral:misc_RNA from 1 species